rnacentral:pre_miRNA from 1 species
AAAUGUGUGUAGAUGGUGUUUAACACCGGGUACAGGUGUAUUUGUAAGUGCGUGGAUGGUGUUCAGCACCAGGGACAGGUCUAUGUGACU